AUUUUAUGUAUCAGCUUAACUGGCCAUAGGGUGCCCAGAUUAAACAUGUUUUCAAGACGUAUUUGUAAGGUUGUUUCUAGACAAGAUUAGUACUUAAAUCAGUAGACUCAAUAGGGUAGAUUUUAUGCCUUCAUGUGGUUGGGCAUCAUUCCAUCCACUGAAGGCCUGCAUAGAACAGAAGGCAGGAGGAAGGAAAAAUUUACUUUUUUUUUCUACCUUACUGCUGAACUGGCACAUCUCAUCUCAUCUCAUUUAAUUUUCUAUGGGCCGUUGGAUUAGGGUUUACACUAUUGGCUCCCCUGGUUCUCAGACCUCCAGAAUCAGACCGAACAACACUCCUGGCUUUCCUGAACUUACAACUUGCAGAUGGCAGCUGGUGGAACACCUACGCCUCCAUAAUCACAUGACCCAAUUUCCAUGUGAUUCUUACUCCAUUUUCAAUUACAGGCUCUGCAUUUACAAGAAGUCUGCUGGCUCAUGCAAAUCCAUCCUGAUCAAAUAAACUUCCUAAGGGUUGGUGUCUGAAGGAUCUGCUUAACAACUGAGGACAUUCAGAAUAUGGGAAAAAAUGGUAAUGUUUGUAUAACAUUUUGAAGUACAAAAAGCAUUUUAUAUUUGUU
rnacentral:lncRNA from 1 species